CCUACGGGAGGCAGCAGUGGGGAAUAUUGCACAAUGGGGGAAACCCUGAUGCAGCGACGCCGCGUGAGUGAAGAAGUAAUUCGUUACGUAAAGCUCUAUCAGCAGGGAAGAAAAUGACGGUACCUGAGUAAGUAGCCCCGGCUAACUACGUGCCAGCAGCCGCGGUAAUACGUAGGGGGCAAGCGUUAUCCGGAUUUACUGGGUGUAAAGGGAGCGUAGACGGUGCGCCAAGUCUGGAGUGAAAUGCCGCAGCUUAACUGGGGACCUGCUUUGGAAACUGGCGAACUAGAGUGCGGGGAGGGUAAGCGGAAUUCCUAGUGUAGCGGUGAAAUGCGUAGAUAUUAGGAAGAACACCGGUGGCGAAGGCGGCUUGCUGGACCGUAACUGACGCUGAGGCUCGAAAGCGUGGGGAGCGAACAGGAUUAGAUACCCGAGUAGUC
rnacentral:rRNA from 1 species